rnacentral:tRNA from 1 species
GGAGAGGUACCGAAGCGGUCAUAACGGGGCGGUCUUGAAAACCGUUAGGGUGCAAACCCACGUGGGUUCGAGUCCCACCCUCUCCGCCA